GCAAGUCGAGCGGACCUUCGGGUUAGCGGCGGACGGGUUAGUAACGCGUGGGAACGUGCCCUUCAGUUCAGGAUAGCCCCGGGAAACUGGGAUUAAUACUGGAUACGCCCUUUGGGGGAAUGAAGGAUCGGCCCGCGUUAGAUUAGAUAGUUGGUGAGGUAAUGGCCUACCAAGUCUACGAUCUAUAGCUGGUUUUAGAGGAUGAUC
rnacentral:rRNA from 1 species